GACCCUGUAACUCAGUUGGUUAGAGUGUGGAGCUAAUACCACCGUGUUACUCCAAAGUCGCCAGUUCGAGCCUGGUCAGGGUCA
rnacentral:tRNA from 1 species